rnacentral:rRNA from 1 species
GAUGAACGCUGGCGGCGUGCCUAAUACAUGCAAGUCGAGCGGCAGCACGGUCUUCGGACUGGUGGCGAGCGGCGGACGGCUGAGUAACGCGUAGGAAUAUACCCAAAGUGAGGGAUAACUGCCCGAAAGGGUGGCUAAUACCGCAUGUGGUCUUCGGACUAAAGCCUUCGGCGCUUUGGGAAUAGCCUGCGUAAGAUUAGCUAGUUGGUGAGGUAAUGGCUCACCAAGGCGACGAUCUUUAGCUGGUCUGAGAGGAUGACCAGCCAGACUGGAACUGAGACACGGUCCAGACUCCUACGGGAGGCAGCAGUAGGGAAUUUUCCACAAUGGGCGAAAGCCUGAUGGAGCAACGCCGCGUGCAGGAUGAAGGCCCUCGGGUCGUAAACUGCUUUUACGUGCGAAGAAUAUGACGGUAACACAUGAAUAAGGGUCGGCGUAACUACGUGCCAGCAGCCGCGGUAAU